rnacentral:rRNA from 1 species
CUUGCGCCGGCGACGGUUCAUUCAAAUUUCUGCCCUAUCAACUUUCGAUGGUAAGGUAUUGGCUUACCAUGGUUUCAACGGGUAACGGAUUUUUAGGGAAAGAUCCCGGAGAGGGAGCCUGAGAAACGGCUACCACAUCCAAGGAAGGCAGCAGGCGCGCAAAUUACCCAAUCCCGACACGGGGAGGUAGUGACAAUAAAUACUGAUACAGGGCUCUUUUGGGUCUUGUAAUCGGAAUGAGUACAAUUUAAAUACCUUAACGAGGAACAAUUGGAGGGCAAGUCUGGUGCCAGCAGCCGCGGUAAUUCCAGCUCCAAUAGCGUAUAUUAAAGUUGUUGCAGUUAAAAAGCUCGUAGUUGAACCUUGGGCCUGGCUGGCCGGUCCGCCUCACCGCGUGUACUGGUCCGGCCGGGCCUUUCCUUCUGGAGAACCGCAUGCCCUUCACUGGGUGUGUUGGGGAACCAGGACUUUUACUUUGAGAAAAUUAGAGUGUUCAAAGCAGGCCUUUGCUCGAAUACGUUAGCAUGGAAUAAUAGAAUAGGACGUGCGGUCCUAUUUUGUUGGUUUCUAGAACCGCCGUAAUGAUUAAUAGGGAUAGUCGGGGGCGUCAGUAUUCAAUUGUCAGAGGUGAAAUUCUUGGAUCUAUUGAAGACUAACUACUGCGAAAGCAUUCGCCAAGGAUGUUUUCAUUAAUCAGUGAACGAAAGUUAGGGGAUCGAAGACGAUCAGAUACCGUCGUAGUCUUAACCGUAAACUAUGCCGACUAGGGAUCGGGCGAUGUUUCUAUAUUGACUCGCUCGGCACCUUACGAGAAAUCAUAAG